AGUCUGAAACAACCACCAACUAACUUUAUAAGUUUACAUUUAAACUUUUUUGUUUUGUUACGUUUGUUUGCCACUAGUACCAUCAUUACUUGCAUUUAUUCUGCACUAACGGUACUAAUCGAAUUGGUUCUGUUUCUUUACUUCCACACCAUUUGUUUUCUUUAACAAUUUUAUACAUUACAUAUCCAUAAAUGGAAAACAAAAAAAUAUCUUCACUUCACAUGCCUCCAAUGAAUCCUCUCUUCAUCUCUUAGCAUAACUAAUUCAAUCAUUGUCAUCUACAAAGUCACACAGAGUGAAUUGUUAAAUCGUAAAGCCACAAUUAUAAACAUAAGUGUAAAGAGCAAAACCGGUGGUAUAAACCGGACAAUAGAUUUGCUUCACAAACCCCAACAAAACAAAAUUAGGUCACUGAGAUUUGACUGUUACCUUUAAGGAAUUUCAAUCUCAUCAUCGAAGCCUAUCCACAAUAAAACCAAUC